AGAAUCUUCCUCCCUCGCUCUUUGCUCCACCACCAGUCCCAGUGCCUGCUCCUGUUCAGCGUCCGGCUCCGUCGGCGGGUUCGAACCCGACUCCCAGCCCUCCACUGGGUGCCAGCCCUACACAGCAAGGCUGGCCAGGGUACCCGACCUACCCGACCUACCCCACGCAGCCGUUCACGUGGGGGCCUCCUCCUCCACAGUCGCAGGGCUACUCCUCGUGGCCGGGGGCGCAGACGCAGCAGGGGCCUAGCGCAGGACUAUGGCGCUACGACGCCGCGCCGUCAGGGUGGACUCAGGCACCACCACAGGCAGGGUGGGGUUCGUGGGGCGAUGGGACCCCUGGGGACGGCGCCACGAGCUAGGAGGACCUGUGGGGGGUACUCGGUGACGAGCAAAGUACCUUUGCCUCCAUCUUCUCGACUAGGACGCAUGUUAGACCCUUUUGCCCUCAUGUUGGACUUGUAGGACUUGUUGGACAUGUAUGUUGGACAUGUAUGCACUUGUUACGCGACGUUAUGUGUAUUUCGGACAUGUAUCGAUGGAUUUGAUGAUGUUCAUGUGUGGAUUCAUGUUGAGAUCGAAUCCGAUGAUGAAAUGCGGUUUAUAUGCUAUAUUGUUAUUAUAAACGUGAUCUGUGGUAUA